rnacentral:rRNA from 1 species
AUUGAACGCUGGCGGCAGGCCUAACACAUGCAAGUCGAGCGAGCGGCGGACGGGUGAGUAAUGUCUGGGAAACUGCCUGCUGGCGGGUGAUAACUACUGGAAACGGUAGCUAAUACCGCAUACCAUCAGAUGUGCCCAGAUGGGAUUAGCUAGUAGGGUGGGUAACGGCUCACCUAGGCGACGAUCCCUAGCUGGUCUGAGAGGAGAACCAGCCACACUGGAACUGAUACACGGUCCAGACUACUACGGGAGGCAGCAGUGGGGAAUAUUGCACAAGGGGCGUAAGCCUGAUGCAGCCAUGCCGCGUGGAUGAAGAAGGCCUUCGGGUUGUAAAGGACUUUAAGCGGGGAGGCGUUACCCGCAGAAGAAGCACCGGCUAACUCCGUGCCAGCAGCCGCGGUAAUUC